UGGUAGCCAUAGCGAGGUGGCACCACCCGAUCCCAUCCCGAACUCGGAAGUGAAACGCCUUUGCGCCGAUGAUAGUAUGGGGUUUCCCCAUGUGAAAGUAGGACACCGCCA
rnacentral:rRNA from 1 species